rnacentral:rRNA from 1 species
CCUACGGGUGGCAGCAGUGGGGAAUAUUGCACAAUGGGGGAAACCCUGAUGCAGCGACGCCGCGUGAGCGAUGAAGUAUUUCGGUAUGGUAAGCUCUAUCAGCAGGGAAGAAAAUGACGGUACCUGACUAAGCAGCCCCGGCUAACUACGUGCCAGCAGCCGCGGUACUACGGAGGGGGCAAGCGUUAUCCGGAUUUACUGGGUUUAAAGGGAGUGUAGACGGCUGUGCAAGCCCGGUGUGAAAUCCCCGGGCCCAAACCCGGGACUGCAUUUGGAACUGUGUGGCUGGAGUGUGGGAGAGGCAUGCGGAAUGCGUGGUGUAGCGGUGAAAUGCGUAGAUAUUAGGAGGAACACCAGUGGCGAAGGCGGCAUGCUGGACGAUGACUGACGUUGAGGCUCGAAAGCGUGGGGAGCGAACAGGAUUAGAAACCCGAGUAGUC